GAUGAACGCUGGCGGCGUGCCUAAUACAUGCAAGUCGAGCGGCAAGGCCUCUUCGGAGGUACACGAGCGGCGGACGGCUGAGUAACGCGUAGGAACGUACCCCAAAGUGAGGGAUAAGCACCAGAAAUGGUGUCUAAUACCGCAUGUGGCCCACGGGCUAAAGCUUCGGCGCUUUGGGAACGGCCUGCGUAAGAUUAGCUAGUUGGUGAGGUAAUGGCUCACCAAGGCGACGAUCUUUAGCUGGUCUGAGAGGAUGAUCAGCCAGACUGGGACUGAGACACGGCCCAGACUCCUACGGGAGGCAGCAGUAGGGAAUUUUCCACAAUGGGCGAAAGCCUGAUGGAGCAACGCCGCGUGCAGGAUGAAUGCCUUCGGGUUGUAAACUGCUUUUAUAUGCGACGAAUAUGACGGUAGCAUAUGAAUAAGGAUCGGCUAACUCCGUGCCAGCAGCCGCCGUAA
rnacentral:rRNA from 1 species